rnacentral:tRNA from 3 species
GAGGCCCUAGCUUAAUUAGAGUAUCUAAGUUGCAUUUAGAUGGUGCAGGUUUAGUGUCCUGCGGGUCUUA